GAGCCCAAAGCAUAACUCAAUGAUCCCUACAUUAACGGAGAGGUGGGGAUGUCAUGACACAUCCCGACCUCUCUAUAUUAUAUCUCCUACUCUUCACCCAUGAACAAGGUGGGAUCUCAAUGGAAGCGUUGCUUGAAACAAGCACGUGCUUCACAGCCAUGUAUUCGGUACAAUCCACCCAUGCUAACUAAUGAAGUCUAAAG